UAUGAGAAUUAGCUGAAAGGAGUGACAUUUGGCUUGAAAAUAACCAUUUAAAGAACAAAUAGACUACUCAAAACUACUGUAUACUGUAGGCCUAACAGGCACUUUUAUGUUAUGAAAAAAAAAAAAAAAACUAUUUAAUUAACAGCUUAAGAUGACUUCAUUAUUUAAAAAUUAUUUUAAUGGCUUUGUAAAAUGUCAAAUGACAAAAUUCUAAACAAAACUUACUCAGCAAAAAAAUGAACAAAUAAUGUUUCAAAACUCAUAUAGAGGGGGACUGAUUUGUGGGGAGGGGUUGAAAGAGCAUAACAAAAAUAUUAAUUUAUAGAAUUACUGACAUAUGCCAGAAGUUUCAAUAGGCUAUGGGUGUUUUUUUUUUUUUUUUUUUUUAGCUAUUUACGUUAUAUUUUAGUCAAACAGAUAUGCAUUUCAGGGUGCAUUUCUUUUUCCAUCACUAUAAUUUCACUGGUUAAAGUGCAAAGAAGAAAUGCCCAAUUCCCAGUUUAAAAACUGUGUGAACAGAUUUAUCAGAUCAUCUCUAGCCAGCGGAAAAGGUGGGGUAAAUAAAUGCCUUUAAAUGUUUGCUUGGUUGUUGCACUGCCAUUAUGUCUCUCAUGCACACUUUUUCUCUUCAAAAAGACCUAGCGCUAAAGGAAAACAUGAGACUUCUGUCAGCUGCUGGUUACUUAGUGCUGCUUUCCUCCUUGUUCACACAUGGAGCAUUUGAACGUAUGAAUCAGUCAAAUUCAGUCAAAGAUUCUCACUCAGAUGCUUCUCUAGAAGUCCGGCCUGACAACAGACAACACCUCAUGGGGGAAAAUUUCACCCUUCGCUGCUCGGUAAAUGGUGGUAAUUCAACAGGCUGGAUACUGAGGAGGCAUCAAGGAGCUAAAAAUAUGUCUGGAUGUUUGCAGUUGAAUGGCAAAGAAUCUAUAGACAGGCCUGAAGAAUGUCAUUUCAUUGACAUUGACAGUAAGAACAGUGGACUUUACUGGUGUGAGAAUACUGCUGAAAACAAGACAAGCAACACCAUCAACAUCACCGUGGUCUGUAAGAACAUCAGUGGCAAUAAUAUAGAUUCAAAUCAUUGAUUUGAAGAUAAUAGUUUUUUAUUAAUAUGUGAUUUAUGAAUAGCUGAGAGAUACAUUACAAUUGUAUAUCAUCACAAUCGUAUUGUGACAUUUGAUAAACUGUUUAAUGUCAAUCUUACCUUCGUAAAAAAAAUGAAUGCUGAAAAGUGAAUACCGUAAAGAAAUACUGAAAGUAUGCUUUCAGGUAUUGUGAUUUAAAAUGCUCAUUAAAAUCAUAAAAGGAUACUUUAGUAUAUAGUAAAGCAAUACACUUUGAUGUAUAUAUAAGCAUAUAUUUAUAUAUAAUCUUUGUUCCUAGAUGAUAAAAUGAUUCUCUUGAGCACAGUUCACCCAGUGAUGAAAGGUGAGUCAGUUACUCUGCAGUGCAAAUCCUGGCUGUGUAGAUAUACUGUUAACUGGUUUUCAGUUAGAUGCGAGGUCUGUAUGUCUUUUUAGUCACUGCGUUUACAUACUGUGCAUAAUUUUAUCAGUUCAGUCACUUUGUGUCUUUAGAGAACUCCACAGCUGAUUCAGAAGAUGAAAAGCCAUAUACAGGAUCUUUGGUCUGGCUGUCAGGGGUCUGUAUCGUCUUGAUUCUUCUGGUGCUUCUUCCUGUGCUCUUGCUGCUGUUUCCAGGUUUCAGGGAGAAAUUCCGUGUCUGUCCAAAUGGGGCAUUUAGAAGGGAAAGAGUCCAACAGGAAAUGCCUAAAACCAAGCAGGACGUGACUGAAAUCCAGUGGGAUCUUCCCUGGAUGGAGAUGGACAAUUUGUUGGACAAGUAACAAAAUCCUGGCAGCUGAACAUUCCAAAUGUGGAUGUUAUCAGAUACAUACAAUAUUUUUGAAGACAGAAAACAGUGACUUUGCUUUAUAUAGUGAGUCAUGGGCAAAACUGAUUUUAAUAGCAUAUGGAAGUGUUUUCAGUUGUGCUUGUUAUAAUUCAGCUUUGGAUAAGGGAUCAGAUGUCUUUAAGGAAUAUUUACGUCAGAUGUUUUUAAUUGCAGAAUGACAGUUGAUUUGUAUCUUUGAGUGAUUCGUUAACAUAUAAACUUGUGCGAAUUGCAGAAGGUCUUCUGCAAAGAAUACCAGGCAAGCUGGUAAUGAACAUGUUAUUGUAGAAUUAUGGUUAUUUUGCAAUGCAGUGUUGACAUAUAAAAUAUUUAUUUAAAUAAAUAAAAAGAUAAAUAAUAAAUAACAGAGAUGAAUCAUGAAUUUUUUUAAUGGUGACAUUGUGACAUUUGAUAAACUGUUUAAUGUCAGUCUUACCAUCAUAAAAAAGUGCAUUUCGGUGUGCUAAAAGUAUACUUUUAUAGGUAAUAUAAUUUAAAAUGAUUAACAUUUUAAAAGGACAUUUUAGCGUAUAGUAAGCAAUUUAAUAGGCCAUACUCUUUCAUGAACGUGUAAGCAUUUCUAAAAGUAUAUUGUCAAUUUAAGAAUAUUAUUGUAAAUAAAUACAUUUAAAAAAUGUAUAUGUACAAUAAAAUCAAUCACUACAAAAUAUGCUAACAAAACAAUGAUUUAUCUUGUGAACUAUCUUGUGAUGUCAAUGCAUUUUAAAAUGUUCCUCAUUUCAAAACAAAGUUUUGUGUACUUUACUGCAAAAUGUGUUACUUGAAAUUGUAUCAUAAAUAAAUCCAUUUUAAUACGUU